rnacentral:rRNA from 1 species
GUGAACAACCAAGGGCGCGCGGUGGAUGCCUAGGCUCUCGGAGGCGAUGAAGGACGCGAUAAGCCGCGAUAGGCCACGGCGAGGUGCAAGUAACCCUUGACCCGUGGAUUUCCGAAUGGGGCAACCCGGCCGUCUAGAUGACGGUCAUGCAGUAAUGCAAGCGAACGCGGGGAACUGAAACAUCUCAUUACCCGCAGGAGAAGAAAACAACAUGUGAUUCCCCCAGUAGUGGCGAGCGAACGGGGAAGAGCCCAAACCGUUGCCGUUUCGGCGACAACGGGGUCAUGGGACCGCGAUAUUCGACGAUGGACGAAGUGCAAUUACCUGGAAAGGUAAGCCGUGGAGGGUGACAGCCCCGUGCACGACACCUCCAUCUAAGAUAGCGGUAUCCCGAGUAGGGCGGGACACGAGAAAUCCUGCCUGAAUUCGCCAGGACCUCCUGGCAAGGCUAAAUACUCCCGAGAGACCGAUAGUGAACCAGUACCGCGAGGGAAAGGUGAAAAGUACCCCGAGCAGGGGGGUGAAAUAGACCCUGAACCCGCGCGCCUACAAGCGGUCGGAGCCAUGAAAUAUGGUGACGGCGUGCCUUUUGCAUAAUGAGCCUACGAGUUAGUCGUCACCAGCGAGGUUAAGGGCUUCAGGCCCGUUAGCCGAAGUGAAAGCGAGCCUUAACAGGGCGUCGAGUUGGUGGCGCUAGACGCGAAACCUUGUGAUCUACCCACGAGCAGGUUGAAGUCGCGGUAACACGUGAUGGAGGACCGAACCGGUAAACGUUGAAAAGUUUUCGGAUGACUCGCGGGUAGGGGUGAAAGGCCAAUCAAACUGGGAAAUAGCUCGUACUCUCCGAAAUGCAUUUCGGUGCAGCCUGUGAUGUUCUGUUCCAGAGGUAGAGCUACUGGUUGGACGCGAGGGCUUCACCGCCUAUCAAAUCCGGAUAAACUCCGAAUGCUGGAACACGAAAUCAUGGAGUGAGCCCGCGGGUGCUAAGGUCCGCGGACGAGAGGGAAAGAACCCGGACCACCGGCUAAGGUCCCGGAUGGACAGUUAAGUUGAUCAAACGAGGUGGGAUCGCUGAGACAGCUAGGAUGUUGGCUUGGAAGCAGCCAUUCAUUUAAAGAGUGCGUAACAGCUCACUAGUCGAGCGAUCCCGCGUGGAUAAUACACGGGCAUUAAACUGUCAACCGAAGCCGUGGGGUCAGUGAAGAACUGACCGGUAGGAGAGCAUUCCUGCCAGCUUUGAAGGUCACCCGCGAGAGUGACUGGAGCGGCAUGAAAAGCAAAUGUAGGCAUAAGUAACGAUAAUGGGGGCGAGAACCCCCCACGCCGCAAGACCAAGGAUUCCCCGGCAAUGUCAAUCAGCCGGGGGUCAGCCGGCCUCUAAGGCUCACCCGAAGGGGGACGCCGACGAGAAACGGGUUAACAUUCCCGUGCUUCUCGUCACCGUGACGCGGUGACGGGGUGAUGAAUGGACCGCGCGCUGACGGAAUAGCGCGUUGAAGGCCGUACCCGAUGACGGUGGUAGUCAAGCACGCCACCGGAGGCGAGAGCCGAUAGUACCACGAGACUCCGGUCGAGUGGAUAGCGUCCAGGCAAUUUACCCCCUAGAAAACCCGCUAAACUUCAAGUGACGAGGAACCGUACUGUAAACGGACACACGUGGUCGGGUAGAACAUACCAAGGCGCUCGAGUGAUUCAUGGUCAAGGAACUAGGCAAAAUAGUCCUGUAACUUCGGGAAAAAGGACGCUCUAGUGAUAGAGCCGCAGAGUAAUGGCCCAGGCGACUGUUUACCAAAAACACAUGGCUAUGCCAAAUCGAAAGAUGACGUAUAUGGCCUGACACCUGCCCGGUGCCGGAAGGUUAAGAGGAGAGCUCAUCGGAAACGAGAAGGUUUGAAUUGAAGCCCCGGUAAACGGCGGCCGUAACUAUAACGGUCCUAAGGUAGCGAAAUUCCUUGUCGGGU